UACGUAGGGUGCAGGCGUUAAUCGGAAUCACUGGGCGUAAAGCGCACGUAGGCGGAUCUUUAAGUCAGGGGUGAAAUCCUGGAGCUCAACUCCAGAACUGCCUUUGAUACUGGGGAUCUCGAGUCCGGAAGAGGUGAGUGGAACUCCGAGUGUAGAGGUGAAAUUCGUAGAUAUUCGGAAGAACACCAGUGGCGAAGGCGGCUCACUGGUCCGGUACUGACGCUGAGGUGCGAAAGCGUGGGGAGCAAACAGG
rnacentral:rRNA from 1 species